UUCUUUGUCGGCCUCUGAUCAAAGAGAGGAUAUAAAAAAAAUUCAAGAUGGAUUUCUGAAGGACAAUGUUGUACACAUUCCCUGUGUUUCCGAGCUGCGGUGGUUAGUUGAUUUUGGGGGGAAAAAUCUUUUUUCCCCCCUUUUGAUCCCGGGGAGAAAACACUCACACAAACACGUCUUGGCACCACAAACAUUGCAAGAUGGGCCCUUGUCUGUAGCCUCCCCGGCUGGCUGGCUGGCGGGUAGAAGGUGCUGGCUUCUCAUUUAUCAACAACACGAGAGAAUUUGGAAUACGACUCACUGCAGCGUGCAGACCCUUUCCUCCUUCUGCGGGCAUUCAAGGCGAGGUCACUGUCGUCUGGGGUGACUCAGGACCCAGGAUGCUCCCCCCGUGCCCAGAAACUGCCGGCCCGGCUGCCCCCUCCGUCUCCUUCACCCCCAGCCAUUAAGAGUACGUUUCUCCCUCACUCCUUCAGCCGUGGAGCAAAUGCAAAUAAAAAGCACUUAAAAUGGUUAACAUUUCCUGUCACUGAAGGCAUUCGUUAGGGGCGGGGGUCGCUGAGUUUUCAGUGUAUUUUCAUAGGAAAACUCAUUUCAGAUCUGCGGCAGGAACUCGGACAACUCACACAGCGGGCCUCGGGGUUUGCCGGGAGCCCGAGCCCUGAGUCAGCCGGGUGACCCUUUAUGUCAUGUGGGUACAGGAGAGCAAAUACCCGGCUUCACACUGAGGCCAACCUGGGGCCCAGCUCCGGAAAAAAUAAAAUAGGCUCUUGCCCACCCCCUCUCCCCUUGACGCAUUUUCUUUUCCUUUAUUGGAGAAACCCUCUCCCCCCAAAUUUGGUAAUUUAUUUUGUUGUGUUUCUCUAUUGAUCGUUUAGCUAGUGAGUUUGCUGGCUUCCUGGAUGCUCAUUUCUGGUUCUGCACAAAAGAGCCACAUUUCCUUUUGGAACCGGGACCAGGAGACAGACAGCAGCAGACAUUGGAAAUUGUUGUGAAGAUUUGAGACUGUGAACGCAAAGGCGGGGCCGAUAGAUCGUGCUGGAUAAAGGUCUCUGGGCCAGUCCCUGGAGCCCCGAAAUAAAUGGGCAGAGGGGGCUGCCUGGCAUCGCGUCUUGGCCACCUACCAGCCGGACACCCCAGCACUCUCGCGGCCCUGCUGCCAGCAUGAGACGUGGCUGUGCCGGCCUGAGGAAGGACGAAGAACGUGCAGCCCGCUCGCCCGGUCAGCGCCGUGGAGCUCCUGCACACGUUGGCCUGGUGGGAAGAUUGACCUUAUUUCCAUUCUCCUACUGAAAGUGACAACGCAGCCAAGUGCCACUUCUGGGCCAGGGGGACGCUGUGAUCAGAUGAGAGACAGGUUCACACCACUGCAGUGACCCUCUGGAAAAGGAAGCAACCGGGCAUUUCCUCUGCACAUUGUCUUUCUGCAAAAUUACGAGUAAGGAAUAUUUGUACUGGAUUGAUUUUCCUUCCUUGCAUGCCAGCAAAAACUUGCUAAGUUUAAGAGAAAUGGAGAAAAAGUCUGCAUUAUUACAUUUUAAUGGGCAAUCAUGUUCAAGCAAACCAAAGUGCCUGAUGACUUCCCCAGUCCCACAUCUGCCCAGGGGCCAUAACCACCCACACACCUAGAGGCCUGAGCUGUUCCGGGUCGCCGACUUUAGAACGUCAUGGUUAUCAACUGCUGCGGCUUACGCGGAUUAACUUCUGAACGCCGAGGCCGGUCCCGUUACUUGGGUUCGCGCUGUUUGCUCACGUGAAUCACAUCACACGCGCUGAUGCAUCAGGAAGUGGCUGGAGCCCGUACUCAGUGGAGAUGUUUCCAUCCCGGAGCUGAGGGGACAACUCUGGAGGCAGAACAUUCCAGUAAGGGAGUGACCCAGAAGGCAACGUCUCCAUCCAGCCAAGGCCUUCGCUCUCUCCUCGCACCGGAAGCAUGGCUGCAGACAGUCACGCGUUCAGAGAGGAGGCCCCUCCGGUGGGCACGGCGCGGGACGCGGCUCGGGCUUCCUGGAGCAGGUGUGCAGAGCGGGCCUCUUCUUUCCCGGUUCCGAUCCCGGCCGGAAUGCACUCGGGAGCACAGAGCAGCGGGAGCUCUCGGCGUUUAUUUAAAGAAGCCGAAAGGUUAAAACCACCCAGUGGUCCGCAGAGCGGAAGGACAGGCCCUUUCAAGCAGCCUGGCCCCGUGCGACCCGGGCCGUGUGGGUCUUCCAGUUCGUCGGCACACACACUCGUGUCUCCCGACUCCAGGCUACACGGCAGCGUGCUAGGCAAUGAGGCGAAACCGGGAGCCAGCAGCCCGUGGGGCCGGCUCUGUGCUCACAUCCCUCACACCCUCCGCAUACAGCUGGCGCCUCUCCCCACCGCAGGAGGUGGGCGUUGUCAUUAUCCCUCGCUUGCGGACGGGGAAACUGAGGCGUGGGGGACGGCGAGGCCUGGCAGCGUACGGGGCAGAGCUGGGGUUUGGAGCCAGGUUGUGCGGCCCCAGCGUCCAAGCUCGAGGCCGUCCGAGCUCACUUGCCUCCGCGAGACCUCGCUCCUGGGCUCUGCUCCAGACUGGCCUCCCCAGAGCCCUCUGCUCCUGCCGACAGGCAGGUUAGAAACGGACCCCGACCUCCGCCGUGGGAAGGGCCACCCCACACUCAUCACACUCAGAGCCCUGAGGUCCGACAGGUGAGGGGCUUCGUCUGAGGCCCCCCCCCGGCCAUGGCUCCCUGCGUCACUCCCGGCUGUGUCCCCAGAAAGCCCCCCGGAGCCACACGGAGGCACCGCCACACACGUGCAGAAUCGGAAUCACCAGGUUGCAACAGUCCAUCCCUCAAGUGCAGCCCGGCGGGGAAGCUCUUAGCUCUUUGGUCUCUGGACGCGGGAGACUGAGACACGAAAACCGCCAUCAGCUUCCCUUGUCUGUCUAGCAGGAUGGUUAUGGGACGAUGACAGCGUGCCUGCUGCGGGCUGGGUGUGCUCAGACUCCCCGCGUCCCCGGCCGCUCUGACCUCUCACCCAUUCCAAUGGAGGAAUCCCUUCCCCCACAUUUUACAGAAAAGGGAACAGACGCCCAGAGAGGUCUCAAGGCUGGCAAGUCCAAGAUCAAGGGUCACAGCAGAUGGGCGUCUGGUGAGAGCCCGCUUCCCGGUCCACGGAUGCCUGUCUUCUUUCUGUGUCCUCCCACGGCGGAAGGGGGAAGGGAGCUCUCUGGAGCCCCCUAUAUAAGGGCCCUGACCCCACCAAGGAGGCUCUGUCUUCAUGACCUGUCACCUCCCAAAGGCUCUGCCCACGAAAGCCAUCACAUGGGGCAUCGGGCUUCAACAUAUGGGGUGGGGGAGGGUGGCACAGACAUUCGG